rnacentral:tRNA from 1 species
ACCCUUGUAACUCAAUCGGUAGAGUAGCGGUCUUUUAAACCGCAGGUUAUAGGUUCAAUCCCUAUCAAGGGCA